rnacentral:rRNA from 1 species
CAAUAGCGUAUAUUAAAGUUGUUGCGGUUAAAAGCUCGUAGUUGGAUUUCUGCCGAGGACGACCGGUCCGCCCUCUGGGUGAGUAUCUGGCUCGGCCUGGGCAUCUUCUUGGAGAACGUAUCUGCACUUGACUGUGUGGUGCGGUAUCCAGGACUUUUACUUUGAGGAAAUUAGAGUGUUUCAAGCAGGCAUACGCCUUGAAUACAUUAGCAUGGAAUAAUAAGAUAGGACCUCGGUUCUAUUUUGUUGGUUUCUAGAGCUGAGGUAAUGAUUAAUAGGGAUAGUUGGGGGCAUUUGUAUUAACGCGUCAGAGGUGGAAUUCUUGGAUUGCGUUACGACAAACUACUGCGAAAGCAUUUGCCAAGGAUGUUUUCAUUGAUCAAGAACGAAAGUUAGGGGAUCGAAGACGAUUAGAUACCAU